rfam:Weissella viridescens strain DSM 20410 Scaffold2, whole genome shotgun sequence.
AACAUAGCAAUGCACUAGAGAGUAGAAUGAAGAUUGUUAUCAAGCGAGUGUGAGAUGGUGAGAGCACACAAACAAUCUUCAUUUGAAGGUAACUAUGUGGGCUUUGUAACUGAAAUCUAGUAGGUCACAACGUGAUAAACGCGUUAAGUUUUUAAUGAGAUAGGGGUAACCCUAAAUCAGGUGGUACCGCGAAUGCAACUCGUCCUGAUC